CGACAGCGAGUCGGACGAUGAUGAAGCAGCUGGCCAGCUUAUGAGCGGCGCUGCUGGCCUUUUGCCCAUGAAUACCAAUGCCACUGAUGACAGCUUCGACUUGGCAGACCAAACGCGGCAGCAGGUCGGGCAGCGG
rnacentral:sRNA from 1 species